UACGGAGGGUGCAAGCGUUAAUCGGAAUUACUGGGCGUAAAGCGUGCGUAGGCGGUUCGUUAAGUCUGUUGCGAAAGCCCCGGGCUCAACCUGGGAAUGGCAAUGGAUACUGGCGAGCUAGAGUGUGUCAGAGGAUGGUGGAAUUCCCGGUGUAGCGGUGAAAUGCGUAGAGAUCCGGAAGAACACCGGUGGCGAAGGCGGUCUGCUGGGCCAAGACUGACGCUGAGGCGCGACAGCGUGGGGAGCAAACAGG
rnacentral:rRNA from 1 species